AUUUGAAAUCUGGCUCCUUCGGGGCCCGAGUUGUAAUUUGGAGAGGAUGCUUCGGGUGUGGCCCCCGUCUAAGUGCCCUGGAACGGGCCGUCAUAGAGGGUGAGAAUCCCGUCUGGGAUGGGUGGUCCCGCCCGUGUGAAGCUCCUUCGAAGAGUCGAGUUGUUUGGGAAUGCAGCUCUAAGAGGGUGGUAAAUUUCAUCUAAAGCUAAAUAUUGGCCGGAGACCGAUAGCGCACAAGUAGAGUGAUCGAAAGAUGAAAAGCACUUUGAAAAGAGAGUUAAACAGCACGUGAAAUUGUUGAAAGGGAAGCGUUGGCAACCAGACUCGCCCGGGAGGGCUCAGCCGGCACGUGUGCCGGUGCACUCCCCCCCGGGCGGGCCAGCGUCGGUUUGGGCGGUCGGUCAAAGGUCUCGGGAACGUAGCACCCUCCGGGGUGCCUUAUAGCCCGAGGCGCCAUGCGACCUGCCCGGACCGAGGAACGCGCUCCGGCUCGGACGCUGGCGUAAUGGUUGUCAACGGCCCGUCUUGAAACACGGACCAAGGAGUCUAACAUCUAUGCGAGUGUUCGGGUGUCAAACCCGUCCGCGCAGUGAAAGCGAACGGAGGUGGGAACCCCUCACGGGGUGCACCAUCGACCGAUCCUGAUGUCUUCGGAUGGAUUUGAGUAAGAGCAUAGCUGUUGGGACCCGAAAGAUGGUGAACUAUGCCUGAAUAGGGCGAAGCCAGAGGAAACUCUGGUGGAGGCUCGCAGCGGUUCUGACGUGCAAAUCGAUCGUCAAAUUUGGGUAUAGGGGCGAAAGACUAAUCGAACCAUCUGGUAGCUGG
rnacentral:rRNA from 1 species